rnacentral:lncRNA from 1 species
GGAGGCACAGUAUCUCAAAAUCAACUUGCACUGGUUUCAAAUUGGGAAGUUGGAUUUCACAUUCUUGUGAUGAAUUUCUUUGUAAUUUGGUCUUUAGAUGAUGACUGAUAACAUCUAUGAUCCUACUGGGGAAGCACAUUUUAGAUAAUUUUCCCAAAUGUCUUUAUAGGUUAUAUUUCCAGAGAACCUGUUGCAACACAGCGUACAGAGACCACUGUCACUUGGGAUUCACCAGGUUAUAUUUCCAGAGAACCUGUUGCAACACGGCGUACAGAGACCGCUGUCACUUUGGACUCACCAGGUUAUACUUCCAGAGAACCUGUUGCAACACAGCGUACAGAGACCACUGUCACUUGGGAUUCACCAGGUAAGUUACCAACCAAAGGAGAUGGGUAAUAGAUUUCCAGCCAUUAGCAUCAUAUCUGUGUAUUUAAUAAGCACCUAUCUGUGUGAUAUUCUAUGAUACAUGAGUCAAAUUAAAGCAACAACACUGAAAAGAAACAUUGCCAGGUUACCUCUGGCUCUUGGAAUUGGGGUAAUUUUUUUCUGCUAUUUCAGUUCAGUUCAGUUCAGUCAUUCAGUUGUGUCCAACUCUUUGCGACCCCAUGAAUUGCAGCACGCCAGGCCUCCCUGUCCAUCACCAACUCCCGGAGUUCACCCAGACUCACAUCCAUCGAGUCAGUGAUGCCAUCCAGCCAUCUCAUCCUCUGUCGUCCCCUUCUUCUCCUGCCCCCAAUCCCUCCCAGCAUCAGAGUCUUUUCCAAUGAGUCAACUCUUCACAUGAGGUGGCCAAAGUACUGGAGUUUCAGCUUUAGCAUCAUUCCUUCCAAAGAAAUCCCAGGGCUGAUCUCCUUGAGAAUGGACUGGUUGGACGGUUGGCCA